GGUUGUAGCUCAGUGGUUGAGCACUUGGCUCACAUGCAUGAGGCACUGGGUUGGACCCUCAGCACCA
rnacentral:tRNA from 1 species